rnacentral:rRNA from 1 species
GAUGAACGCUGGCGGCGUGCUUAACACAUGCAAGUCGAACGAAGCACUCUAUUUGAUUUCUUCGGAAUGAUUAUUUUGUGACUGAGUGGCGGACGGGUGAGUAACGCGUGGGUAACCUGCCUCAUACAGGGGGAUAACAGUUGGAAACGACUGCUAAUACCGCAUAAGCGCACAGGACCGCAUGGUCUGGUGUGAAAAACUCCGGUGGUAUGAGAUGGACCCGCGUCUGAUUAGCUAGUUGGUGGGUAACGGCCUACCAAGGCGACGAUCAGUAGCCGACUGAGAGGUGACCGGCCACGAUUGGGACUGAGACACGGCCCAAAACUCCUACGGGAGCAGCAGUGGGGAAUAUUGGCACAAUGGGGGAAACCCUGACCGAGCAACGCCGCGUGAAUGAUGAAGUAUUUCGG